CAGAUCUGAAUCCAUCCUUAGCCUUAGAGUAGCAAACAUUGAAGAGUUCAUUGAGUAUGCCAGUGAACACAAUGAAGGCAGCCCCUGCUCCAAAGACUCCUUUCCUCAAGAUCUCGCAAGAAGGAGGGUUCCUUCCAUCAAGAAUUU